rnacentral:rRNA from 1 species
ACCCGCACAAGCGGUGGAUGAUGUGGUUUAAUUCGAUGCAACGCGAAAGACCUUACCACCUUUGACAUGUACGGAAUCCUUUAGAGAUAGAGGAGUGCUCGAAAGAGAGCCGUAACACAGGUGCUGCAUGGCUGUCGUCAGCUCGUGUCGUGAGAUGUUGGGUUAAGUCCCGCAACGAGCGCAACCCUUGUCAUUAGUUGCUACAUUCAGUUGGGCACUCUAAUGAGACUGCCGGUGACAAACCGGAGGAAGGUGGGGAUGACGUCAAGUCCUCAUGGCCCUUAUAGGUGGGGCUACACACGUCAUACAAUGGAUGGUACAAAGGGUCGCCAACCCGCGAGGGGGAGCCAAUCCCAUAAAGCCAUUCGUAGUCCGGAUCGCAGUCUGCAACUCGACUGCGUGAAGUCGGAAUCGCUAGUAAUCGUGGAUCAGAAUGUCACGGUGAAUACGUUCCCGGGUCUU